GGGUUGUGAGGUUAAGCGACUAAGCGUACACGGUGGAUGCCCUGGCAGUCAGAGGCGAUGAAGGACGUGCUAAUCUGCGAUAAGCGCCGGUAAGGUGAUAUGAACCGUUAUAACCGGCGAUUUCCGAAUGGGGAAACCCAGUGUGAUUCGUCACACUAUCAUUAACUGAAUCCAUAGGUUAAUGAGGCGAACCGGGGGAACUGAAACAUCUAAGUACCCCGAGGAAAAGAAAUCAACCGAGAUUCCCCCAGUAGCGGCGAGCGAACGGGGAGGAGCCCAGAGCCUGAAUCAGCAUGUGUGUUAGUGGAAGCGUCUGGAAAGGCGCGCGAUACAGGGUGACAGCCCCGUACACAAAAGCGCAUGUGCUGUGAGCUCGAUGAGUAGGGCGGGACACGUGGUAUCCUGUCUGAAUAUGGGGGGACCAUCCUCCAAGGCUAAAUACUCCUGACUGACCGAUAGUGAACCAGUACCGUGAGGGAAAGGCGAAAAGAACCCCGGCGAGGGGAGUGAAAAAGAACCUGAAACCGUGUACGUACAAGCAGUGGGAGCACAGGUUUACCUGUGUGACUGCGUACCUUUUGUAUAAUGGGUCAGCGACUUAUAUUCUGUAGCAAGGUUAACCGUAUAGGGGAGCCGGAGGGAAACCGAGUCUUAAUUGGGCGUUAAGUUGCAGGGUAUAGACCCGAAACCCGGUGAUCUAGCCAUGGGCAGGUUGAAGGUUGGGUAACACUAACUGGAGGACCGAACCGACUAAUGUUGAAAAAUUAGCGGAUGACCUGUGGCUGGGGGUGAAAGGCCAAUCAAACCGGGAGAUAGCUGGUUCUCCCCGAAAGCUAUUUAGGUAGCGCCUCGUGAAUUCAUCUCCGGGGGUAGAGCACUGUUUCGGCUAGGGGGCCAUCCCGGCUUACCAACCCGAUGCAAACUGCGAAUACCGGAGAAUGUUAUCACGGGAGACACACGGCGGGUGCUAACGUCCGUCGUGAAGAGGGAAACAACCCAGACCGCCAGCUAAGGUCCCAAAGUCAUGGUUAAGUGGGAAACGAUGUGGGAAGGCCCAGACAGCCAGGAUGUUGGCUUAGAAGCAGCCAUCAUUUAAAGAAAGCGUAAUAGCUCACUGGUCGAGUCGGCCUGCGCGGAAGAUGUAACGGGGCUAAACCAUGCACCGAAGCUGCGGCAGCGAACGUAUCACCCAAGACAACUUUACGGAGUUGACGAUUGACGGAGCGAAGCGACGUCAAAGCGUUCAUUAAAGUCGAGUUGGCUUAGGGAUACGUUCGUUGGGUAGGGGAGCGUUCUGUAAGCCUGUGAAGGUGUGUCGUGAGGCAUGCUGGAGGUAUCAGAAGUGCGAAUGCUGACAUAAGUAACGAUAAAGCGGGUGAAAAGCCCGCUCGCCGGAAGACCAAGGGUUCCUGUCCAACGUUAAUCGGGGCAGGGUGAGUCGACCCCUAAGGCGAGGCCGAAAGGCGUAGUCGAUGGGAAACGGGUUAAUAUUCCCGUACUUGGUGUUACUGCGAAGGGGGGACGGAGAAGGCUAUGUUGGCCGGGCGACGGUUGUCCCGGUUUAAGCGUGUAGGUGUGUGUUCCAGGUAAAUCCGGUUCACUUUAACACUGAGGCGUGACGACGAGGCACUACGGUGCUGAAGCAACAAAUGCCCUGCUUCCAGGAAAAGCCUCUAAGCAUCAGGUAACACGAAAUCGUACCCCAAACCGACACAGGUGGUCAGGUAGAGAAUACCAAGGCGCUUGAGAGAACUCGGGUGAAGGAACUAGGCAAAAUGGUGCCGUAACUUCGGGAGAAGGCACGCUGACACGUAGGUGAAGUGAUUUACUCAUGGAGCUGAAGUCAGUCGAAGAUACCAGCUGGCUGCAACUGUUUAUUAAAAACACAGCACUGUGCAAACACGAAAGUGGACGUAUACGGUGUGACGCCUGCCCGGUGCCGGAAGGUUAAUUGAUGGGGUCAGCGCAAGCGAAGCUCCUGAUCGAAGCCCCGGUAAACGGCGGCCGUAACUAUAACGGUCCUAAGGUAGCGAAAUUCCUUGUCGGGUAAGUUCCGACCUGCACGAAUGGCGUAAUGAUGGCCAGGCUGUCUCCACCCGAGACUCAGUGAAAUUGAACUCGCUGUGAAGAUGCAGUGUACCCGCGGCAAGACGGAAAGACCCCGUGAACCUUUACUAUAGCUUGACACUGAACAUUGAGCCUUGAUGUGUAGGAUAGGUGGGAGGCUUUGAAGUGUGGACGCCAGUCUGCAUGGAGCCGACCUUGAAAUACCACCCUUUAAUGUUUGAUGUUCUAACGUGGACCCGUAAUCCGGGUUGCGGACAGUGUCUGGUGGGUAGUUUGACUGGGGCGGUCUCCUCCUAAAGAGUAACGGAGGAGCACGAAGGUUGGCUAAUCCUGGUCGGACAUCAGGAGGUUAGUGCAAUGGCAUAAGCCAGCUUGACUGCGAGCGUGACGGCGCGAGCAGGUGCGAAAGCAGGUCAUAGUGAUCCGGUGGUUCUGAAUGGAAGGGCCAUCGCUCAACGGAUAAAAGGUACUCCGGGGAUAACAGGCUGAUACCGCCCAAGAGUUCAUAUCGACGGCGGUGUUUGGCACCUCGAUGUCGGCUCAUCACAUCCUGGGGCUGAAGUAGGUCCCAAGGGUAUGGCUGUUCGCCAUUUAAAGUGGUACGCGAGCUGGGUUUAGAACGUCGUGAGACAGUUCGGUCCCUAUCUGCCGUGGGCGCUGGAGAACUGAGGGGGGCUGCUCCUAGUACGAGAGGACCGGAGUGGACGCAUCACUGGUGUUCGGGUUGUCAUGCCAAUGGCACUGCCCGGUAGCUAAAUGCGGAAGAGAUAAGUGCUGAAAGCAUCUAAGCACGAAACUUGCCCCGAGAUGAGUUCUCCCUGAGACUUAGAGUCUCCUGAAGGAACGUUGAAGACGACGACGUUGAUAGGCCGGGUGUGUAAGCGCAGCGAUGCGUUGAGCUAACCGGUACUAAUGAACCGUGAGGCUUAACCUUACA
rnacentral:rRNA from 1 species